AGAGUUUGAUCCUGGCUCAGGAUGAACGCUGGCGGCGUGCUUAACACAUGCAAGUCGAACGCACCUUCGGGUGAGUGGCGGACGGGUGAGUAACGCGUGAGAAUCUGCCCUCAGGAGGGGGAUAACGGCUGGAAACGGCCGCUAAUACCCCAUAUGCCGAGAGGUGAAACGAGUUUUCGCCUGAGGAUGAGCUCGCGUCUGAUUAGCUAGUUGGUGGGUAAGAGCCUACCAAGGCAUCGAUCAGUAGCUGGUCUGAGAGGAUGAUCAGCCACACUGGGACUGAGACACGGCCCAGACUCCUACGGGAGGCAGCAGUGGGGAAUUUUCCGCAAUGGGCGAAAGCCUGACGGAGCAACGCCGCGUGAGGGAUGAAGGCCUCUGGGCUGUAAACCUCUUUUCUCAAGGAAGAAGAUCUGACGGUACUUGAGGAAUAAGCCACGGCUAAUUCCGUGCCAGCAGCCGCGGUAAUACGGGAGUGGCAAGCGUUAUCCGGAAUUAUUGGGCGUAAAGCGUCCGCAGGCGGUCUUGAAAGUCUGUUGUUAAAGCGUGGAGCUUAACUCCAUUUCAGCAAUGGAAACUAGAAGACUAGAGUGUGGUAGGGGCAGAGGGAAUUCCCGGUGUAGCGGUGAAAUGCGUAGAUAUCGGGAAGAACACCAGUGGCGAAGGCGCUCUGCUGGGCCAUAACUGACGCUCAUGGACGAAAGCCAGGGGAGCGAAAGGGAUUAGAUACCCCUGUAGUCCUGGCCGUAAACGAUGAACACUAGGUGUCGGGGGAAUCGACCCCCUCGGUGUCGUAGCCAACGCGUUAAGUGUUCCGCCUGGGGAGUACGCACGCAAGUGUGAAACUCAAAGGAAUUGACGGGGGCCCGCACAAGCGGUGGAGUAUGUGGUUUAAUUCGAUGCAACGCGAAGAACCUUACCAGGGUUUGACAUCCUGCGAACCCCUUGGAAACGAGGGGGUGCCUUCGGGAGCGCAGAGACAGGUGGUGCAUGGCUGUCGUCAGCUCGUGUCGUGAGAUGUUGGGUUAAGUCCCGCAACGAGCGCAACCCACGUCUUUAGUUGCCAGCAUUCAGUUGGGCACUCUAGAGAGACCGCCGGUGAUAAACCGGAGGAAGGUGUGGAUGACGUCAAGUCAUCAUGCCCCUUACAUCCUGGGCUACACACGUACUACAAUGCUACGGACAAAGGGCAGCAAACUCGCGAGAGCUAGCAAAUCCCAUAAACCGUGGCUCAGUUCAGAUCGUAGGCUGCAACUCGCCUACGUGAAGGAGGAAUCGCUAGUAAUCGCAGGUCAGCAUACUGCGGUGAAUACGUUCCCGGGCCUUGUACACACCGCCCGUCACACCAUGGAAGUUGGCCACGCCCGAAGUCGUUACUCCAACCCUUGUGGAGGAGGACGCCGAAGGUGGGGCUGAUGACUGGGGUGAAGUCGUAACAAGGUA
rnacentral:rRNA from 1 species